GGUCCGGCGGCCAGACGCCGAGAGGUCGUGGGCAGCAGUUCGUGCGUGGUCGGCAGGCCUGAAGACUUGGCCAUCGUCCUCCGCUGUGGCCAAGAUCGGAAAGAGUUCAGGGCGUGAGGCGAAUUACUGGGCGCCACGAGAUCGAGGAUGGGGCCGGGAACUUUGGAGAUACUUGGUUCGUGGUCACGUGAAGCCACCGGUGUGACAGGUUGGAGGUUGAAGUGAAAAAUCUGGUUUGAAAGCUUCAUGGAGGACUACAGCAUUUCAAUCCUGAAUCUGAUUCACUCCCUUUAUUGACUUAUUACUGUAUUAAAAAAUAAUGUAAUUGGGGCUGGGAAGGUGGCUCAGUGGUAGAAUGCUUGCCUCGCAUGCAUAAGCCCUG